ACGGGAGGCAGCAGUGGGGGAUAUUGCACAAUGGGGGAAACCCUGAUGCAGCGACGCCGCGUGAGUGAUGAAGUAUUUCGGGUUGUAAACUUCUUUUAAGUGGGACGACAAUGACGGUACCACUUGAAUAAGCUCCGGCUAACUACGUGCCAGCAGCCGCGGUAAUACGUAGGGAGCAAGCGUUAUCCGGAUUUACUGGGUGUAAAGGGCGUGUAGGCGGGACAUCAAGUCAGAUGUGAAAGCACGAGGCUCAACUUCGUGUCUGCAUUUGAAACUGACGUUCUUGAGUGUUGGAGAGGCUAACGGAACUCCUAGUGUAGCGGUGAAAUGCGUAGAUAUUAGGAAGAACACCAGUGGCGAAGGCGGUUAGCUGGACAAUAACUGACGCUGAGGCGCGGAAGCGUGGGUAGCAAACAGGAUUAGAUACCCUGGUA
rnacentral:rRNA from 1 species